CCCUAAGAUACAACGACCACGUCAAGUCAUAUGAGCACUCCAAAUGAUUUCGACCAACAAACUCGAACGAAAUUCUCUCUUUAUCAUAACCAUGAUUUGGAUGCAAGAUAUAAUCACUUCUACAAAAUAUUUGAUGCAACAUGACAUGAAAUGAAUAAUAUGGUAUAUCAAAUGAACAAGGGGUCCUGUAUAUAAAGUUGAAAGGUUGUGGGUGAAGGGACACACUUCCCAAAUUCAACAUUUUUUAUGAAAAAUUACAACUCAAUUGUCGCUAGCUAUACGCAAUUCAACAUUUUUUAUGAAUAGUUACAAUCCAAUAGUUGCUAACUUUUCGCUGACCCAUCGUUUGAGCGACAGUCUUACCCGCUAAAUUUCGAUUUCCUUCAAAUAUUGGACCAAAUUACUUAUUCAUGCCAACAACUGAGUCCAUGGACAAAUGAUUGCUUUCCAUGGAUAAGGUUGCAAGAAAUUUUCACCUAUUUGCUCUUUUGUAGGCAAUCCUUUCUUUUUUGUUUGGAGGAAAACUGCAGUCCCACUCCACAUCCAUAGCCAAUCCUCAAUCACAUGAACAAAUCAUAAACAUUUUAAUAUAACUAGAACCAAUUCCACCAAAAUCAAUGUCCAAUCUUAAGCUAAUCAAACAGAAUAAAUAAAUAAACUAAAUAAUCAAACCGAAUUACUUAUCCCCUAAAACUGCAACAAAAUGCACUGUAGUUGAAGAAAAAUCUUUGAUCUCCUUUAAAAAAAAAAAUCACAUUUGAAUCUAAUUCGAAUUAAAUCCUAUAUAUGCAAAAUCGAACAGAGAAUGUGCAAAAUGGGAUUGAUAUAUACUCAAAUGAUUGUGGGCGAAUUGCUAUGAGUCAAUUUAGAUAGAGAUAAAAGAGAGAAUGUGGGAAAAAACUGUGUAUAGAGAGAGAAAAUUUGGAAGAGAGAGAGAGGAGGUGAAGCUUU
rnacentral:lncRNA from 1 species